UAUAUACGAUAUGUAUAUACUGAUAUGCUUAUGCAUGUAUGUAUAAACUUGCUAUCAAUUAUAUAUACACUGAUAUGCGCAUGCACAUGCAGCUUUACGCAUUGAUAGGACAUAUAUACAUUUUUAUGUACGCUGAUAAAGAUCAUAUAUAUACUUUUUAAUAGUUUCCACAGUUAUUAGCGUAUAUGUACAUUGAUAUGCAUAUGAAUGCACAGGUGGCUGUUGCAGCCAAUAAGGUAAAUGAACAUAUCCCCCCCCUUCUUUUUUGAUUAUUUUCCUCUCAAAUCUUUCCAUUCGAAUCAUUAUCUUCCAUGUGAAUGAUUUUUCCUUAUACAAUUUUCCAAACUGUGAUAAAUUCAGGCCUUAAAGAAGAAGAUUAUUUCUUUUGGCUAUCACCUCUAAUCAGAUAAGCCCAGGCGAAAUUUGAUAUUGCUUUGUAUAGAAUUAAGCAUAAAAAUGGGUUUCUUCUCUUGAUGAAUUGGGUAUGCUAAAUACCCAAUUGUGAUAGUCCAUAUAAAUUUUUCAUCGUAUUUGUACUUGUUUUUAUUAUUAUUGAUGAGCUUCAUCUUCAUCAAGUUUGCUUGUAAAGCAACAAGCAUGAAAGCAACUUAUCAUCGAGGCGGAUCUCUUUACGUUAUUCGAUAUUUGAGAUCUUGAUCUUGCAAGCUUGAUUUGAUUAAUGGUUCUUUCUUCUCUAGUAUAAUACUUCUCUUGCUUCUUUCAUGCAAAAAUGGAGUGAAUUUUUUGAAACUUUACUUGUGGUUUGCAAUUUUUUUAAGUAACUUUUUCUUAACACACACACUCUUGCUUCUUUCAUGCAAAUAUGUAAUGAAUUUUCUGGUGUAUUACUUGUGGUUUGCAAUUUCAUUAAGUAACUUUUUCUUAACACACACACAUACACACACCACAUACACACACUCUCUCACACACACACACUCACACUCACACACACUCAUACACUCACACACGCUCACGCUCACACACUCACGCUCAUGCUCACACUCACACACUCACACACUCACACUCACACCCACACACACACUCUCACACCCACACACACAAGCACACACAUUAACAUGCACUCACACUUACACUCACUCUUAGAUAUAUAGUACACUUAUAUGCGUGUUGUGUAUGGACUGAUGUGUGUAUAUACGAUCAUAUAUUUAUACGUGUAUGUAUACAAAUUAUAUACAAUUGUCAAUGUAUGUAUACAUUGAUAUGUGCAUGCACAUGCACCCUUACGUGUUGAUAAGUGCAUAUAUACUGUGUAUGUUCACUAAUAUAUGCAUACUAUAUACACUGAUAUAUAUAUAUAUCCAUAUAGACACUUAUUAGCACUUUACAUAUAUAUACAGUGUGCAUAUUUAUGAUAUGUAUAUACUGAUAUGUUUAUGAGUGUAUCUAAAGAUACCCUAUGAGUUAUAUAUACAAUGAUAUCCGCACGCACAUGCACCCUUACGCAUUGAUAAUGCAUAUACAUUUAUAUAUACACUGAUAUAUAUGACCAUAUGGACACUUCUCAUCAGUUUAUACCAAUGGUUUAAAAAGCGGAUCGGUGACCCGGAUCGGGCGCCCAAAAACCGAUCCGGAUCGGCGAAUCGGUGAUCCGGAACGAGAAUCGGGUGAAUCGGUCAGAAUAACGCUUCAAAAAAAUCAGAAAAAAUUAUUAAAAUUCAUUAUAAAUAUUUUUUUUAGGAAUUAAAUAAGAAAUGAGGGUACUCCAUUAAGAAUUUUCAUGUUUUUAUAUGAAUAUGCGAAUAUUUAUAUGUUCUUUCCCUGCAUGAACUACUAUUCAGCAUUUAAUUUACAUCACACAAAAGGAUAAACAUAGAAUUAUCAUGGAAUAAGUAUAUCAAUAUACAUGGACUACAAUAAGGCAUAAAAUUAGUAACAUUUGAUCUAAAAGUAAAAUGAUAGACGACGUUGUUGUUCUUCUUGGUCACGCUGGUGCCAUUGAUUGAAUUAGUUUGACAAUUCAUUGAUUCGAUCUAAAAAUGACUCAUCGAUAUUAGCAAGCUUCUGACUAUUCCCAAAUCCCUGAGUGUUAGUGUUUUGUUGUGUUCCCAAUCCAAAAUCCCUGAAGCUUGUCCAUCCUUCAUGCUCACCUGCGCUGUCAUGCUCAUCCCUACACUAUUGUUGUUGGGACUCGAUAUGUGAAUAAUAUGACUGGGAUAGGGUGGCCUCAAAAUCAUCAUCUCUCUCAUUUUCUCUUAGCCCCCUUCCCACUCUCCCUCAUUAGGUGUAAUAUCACCGACAUCUCCGACGAAUUGUGGAUACGUUGGCUAGCUGCUUCCUCUUUCAUGCUGCUCAUUACUUUCUUCAAGAUUUUCAUCACCGAUAGCCUCAAGGAACGCUCUCUUGUGCAACACUGGCUCCUCCUCUUCUACUACCUAUUGGUCUACUGUGUCUGUGAC
rnacentral:lncRNA from 1 species